CUGCGGCUGCUUUACCAUGCAAGUCGAACGGCAGCGGGGGCUUCGGCCUGCCGGCGAGUGGCGAACGGGUGAGUAAUGCAUCGGAACGUGCCCAGUCAUGGGGGAUAACUACGCGAAAGCGUAGCUAAUACCGCAUACGCCCUGAGGGGGAAAGUGGGGGAUCUUCGGACCUCACGUGAUUGGAGCGGCCGAUGUCAGAUUAGCUAGUUGGUGAGGUAAAGGCUCACCAAGGCGACGAUCUGUAGCGGGUCUGAGAGGAUGAUCCGCCACACUGGGACUGAGACACGGCCCAGACUCCUACGGGAGGCAGCAGUGGGGAAUUUUGGACAAUGGGCGCAAGCCUGAUCCAGCCAUGCCGCGUGAGUGAAGAAGGCCUUCGGGUUGUAAAGCUCUUUCGCAAGGGAAGAAAACGUGUGGGCUAAUAUCCUGCGCGGAUGACGGUACCUUGACAAGAAGCACCGGCUAACUACGUGCCAGCAGCCGCGGUAAUACGUAGGGUGCGAGCGUUAAUCGGAAUUACUGGGCGUAAAGCGUGCGCAGGCGGUUGUGUAAGACAGGUGUGAAAUCCCCGGGCUUAACCUGGGAACUGCGCUUGUGACUGCACGGCUAGAGUACGGCAGAGGGGGGUGGAAUUCCUGGUGUAGCAGUGAAAUGCGUAGAUAUCAGGAGGAACACCGAUGGCGAAGGCAGCCCCCUGGGCCUGUACUGACGCUCAUGCACGAAAGCGUGGGGAGCAAACAGGAUUAGAUACCCUGAUAGUCCACGCCCUAAACGAUGUCAACUAGUUGUUUCGUAGAGGUAACUCUGUGAGUAACGCAGC
rnacentral:rRNA from 1 species